GUCAUUUAGAGGAAGUAAAAGUCGUAACAAGGUACCUUAACGGAAGCCUUGUCUUCGACGGUCUACCCUAGCGUAGGCGACACUCGUCUGUUGCUAGAAGUAAACCUUUCCCAAAAGUCAACCAGCUGCUACUUUCACGUAGCCCACAGAUCAAAUACGAGUGKCCUGAUUCUCACACCGAGACGGUUGAGAUAUGACCGUAGCAUCCUCUGUAAGGAGGCUGAGACCUAGUUCCGUAGGUGAACCUGCGGAAGGAUCAUUACCGAGAGAGGGGCUUCGUGCUCCCGGGGUUCAACCCCAACUCUUCACCCAUUGUCUAUCUACCUUUGUUGCUUUGGCGGGCCUUGGACUCCCACGUCUACGUCGAGCUUCACUGCCCGAGAAGGCGAGUGCCCGUCAGAGGCCCUUCAAACUCUGUAACCAAGUAUCGUCCGAGUUAAACCACAAUAGUAAAAACUUUCAACAACGGAUCUCUUGGUUCUGGCAUCGAUGAAGAACGCAGCGAAAUGCGAUAAGUAAUGUGAAUUGCAGAAUUCAGUGAAUCAUCSAAUCUUUGAACGCAUAUUGCGCCCCUUGGUAUUCCGAGGGGCAUGCCUGUUCGAGCGUCAUUGCACCCCUCAAGCGUAGCUUGGUAUUGGGUCUCCGUCCCCGAGACGUACCCGAAAAGCAGUGACGGUCCGGUGAGACUUUGAGCGCAGUAGAUUCUCGUUCUGAAAGGCUCACCGUGACCGCCUCAACCCCAACCACCAAUGAAUUGACCUCGGAUCAGGUAGGGAUACCCGCUGAACUUAAGCAUAUCAAUAA
rnacentral:rRNA from 1 species